UACGUAGGAUGCAAGCGUUAUCCGGAAUUAUUGGGCGUAAAGCGUCCGUAGGUGGUGGUGCAAGUCAGCUGUUAAAGCGUGGAGCUUAACUCCAUAAGGGCAGUUGAAACUACGCCGCUAGAGUGCGAUAGGGGCAAGGGGAAUUCCCAGUGUAGCGGUGAAAUGCGUAGAUAUUGGGAAGAACACCGGUGGCGAAAGCGCAUUGCUGGGUCUGCACUGACACUGAGGGACGAAAGCUAGGGGAGCGAAAGGG
rnacentral:rRNA from 1 species